AUGGGUGGUCACCGUGGCGAGCGAGACGGCGCCCUCACGAGCACGGUCCUUGUUGCGUUGGGCGGCACGAUUGGUCCGGUCGUGGCUGCGACGCGACGAGACGCGAUAAGGGCUGGGCGGCGGCGCCGCGCGCGCCGGCGGGAGGGUUGGCCCGUACUUGUGUGCGCGAACGGCCGGAUGGCAUGCUGGACCAUGCAUGGGCGCGCUACGGCGCUGGUACGGUUCGGCGGUGCCGGGGCUACGUUUUUCCUUCGAGAAAGACGGGGCGGAUUCGGGACGGUGAGCCAUGAGCGCGAUGCAUGCGCCGGUCCGGUCGUGGUCUCUCGUGGUGCCUUGACAAUGCCGGACCCGAGAGGUACUGCCUUGGCUGCAUCUUUGGAAACCAUCGCCUGGUGUUCGUCGUCCACGGCUCCACGCCAUGACGAGCUUGCACGUUGA
rnacentral:rRNA from 1 species